rnacentral:lncRNA from 1 species
UCUCACUAAACCAACUCUGCUGCUUGGAAAAACCCCUCCAACAACGUCACCAAUCAACGCCAAAUCGGAGUUUUAGGUGACGAAGCGUAGAUCGGGUUCCGUCGACAGAGAGACGGUGGUGUGUCACGCAACCACCGAUGAGGGCAAGCUAGGGUGAGGAUUUCCUUUUUCCCAUUAUAAUCACUUGUGGCUUUCUCUCUGUCUAGAAUAUACGGGUAGAUAGAAGGACGUGUGAGACUAGGGUUGACGGUGGUUGUGGUAGGCGAAGAAGCAAGAUUGACCACCGGCGGAGAAGAGACCCUGCCAGUGGUGACGGUGGUGGUUGCUCCGGGAAAGCAGAAGAUUAAGAACAGAAUCACAACGAUGAUGAGUUUGAGUUGCAAAGAAGGCGCCAUUAACGGAGAAUCGAGAGGCGUAGAGUGAAUGAUGGUGAAAAAAACGAUGGUUGUUGGAGUUGUUAUUUCAACGGAAACUGUAUGAGUUGCCAUGGAGUUUCCGGCCGUUGGCGGUGUCAGUUUAUCAUUGCUGCCAACUUUGCCGUAGAGGCUUCGCUGGAGACUCACAGAAACAAAGGCGUUUCCGUCAAUUGUUGAAGAAGUAGAAGGUGACCUUUGUGAUGCACAUAAAUUUCAGCCUCACUAUGUAGCUGUUGAUUAUUGGUGAUUUUGACGUCACUAUGGAACUGUUGAUUAUUGGUCAUCUUACUCUACCAGAAGGCUGUUCCGUUUUGGUGCUGUUCGAAUUGGGGAUUUUACUCUACAGGCUGUCUCUUAGUCGAUUUGUGAUUCCAUCUUAACUUACCAGGCUGUGGCUGUGAGGACACUGUAAAUGUUUGGGCACCGCCAACAACAGGGUGGUGCUUGCUGGUGACUAAAUAUCCAACAAUCUCUGUUCAGCUUUGUGUAGCCAUAAUUACAAAAGGGAAUACAGUGAUGCUGGCCUUAUUUGUCUUUGUUAUGUAACUUUUGUAUCCUCCUAUGAAGUUAGGAGUAAACUAUAUACGUGUGAUGGUGCAAAGGCACCUUAGGUGGUCCUAGCAUAUUAUUCCCAAGAGGCUGUGAAAUGAGUAUACAUUUAUAAGGACCAAAGACACGGUUUUACGC